AAAGCAGGCCAGGCAGUCGCGGCCUCGCCGCCUUCGGGCGCGCGGGGCGAGGAAAGUCCGGACUCCACAGGGCAGGGUGAUGGCUAACGGCCAUCCGUGGCGACACGCGGAACAGGGCAACAGAAAGCAAACCGCCGAUGGCCCGGCGCAAGCCGGGAUCAGGUAAGGGUGAAACGGUGCGGUAAGAGCGCACCGCGGCGACGGCGACGUUCGCCGGCACGGUAACCUCCACCCGGAGCAAUUCCAAGUAGGCAGGCGCGCAUCUUCGGAUGCAGGAUGGGGCCCCGUCUCGUCUGCGGGUAGGAAGCUUGAGCGCGUCAGCAAUGGCGCGCCUAGAGGAAUGGCUGCCACGCGUUGCGUGCUUCGGCGCGCAGCGUGCACAGAAUCCGGCUUAUCGGCCUGCUUUGCCG
rnacentral:RNase_P_RNA from 1 species